CAGAACUGGAGCAGUAACCGUCAAGAAGCCGCUCAAGCGAGGCUAGAAAUCAAGAAGCAGUUUCCCCCCCAGUCCCCGUCCUUUCACUUCCCCACCCGUGGGCACCUUUUGAAAGUCUCACAGAGCACUUCUGAAAAACCGCUUGGACCCGCGUGCUCGAGGCCUGGCUGGAGGUGGGCCCGCAGCUAGGCUUUCCGAAAACAGAUGGAUUCCGGAAAGGACUGUGCCAAACCCGCCGGCUUUGUUUGGAAGGCCCCUCCCAGGAGGCCCCCCCUUCCCCGCGCGGCUUGUAUCUUACAAGUUUCCCACAGAGGUGAUGAUUUCGCCCUGGGUCUGGGAGGCGGCUCCAAAUUUCUACCCACUGGCCCUGGAUUCCAGCCCUGACCUCGAGGGGGGCGCUAGAAGUCCUGCCCGCAGCGGGAAGGGAGCAAACCAGAGAGGACCCGGCGUCCUGGAGAGCUGGCCUCUGUGCAUGCUGGUGCCUGCAAAGGGCUCACGGGAGAGGGAGACAGCUGCACCCGGAGCGCCUUGCUGCUGUUCCGAGAAAGAAAGGAACAAAUAAAUUUAGCUCCAACCUACGCAUCCUUCACAGCUGCUUAUUGACCAAACAGAAAGGGGCCUCUCUUUCAACCCUGGCUUCUCAGCUCUGUGCCCAAGGAGGUCUGCCACGG
rnacentral:lncRNA from 1 species